UGCUGAAGUGUGCAGCACACACGCCAGAAAGAGCAACCGCGCUUCCCGACUCUCCAUCCUGAGCCUGGAUAAUGCUCUGGGCGCGUCAGACUGCAGAGGCUGGGAUGACAGUCACAACUUCCAGAGGCUGUUUGCUUCCUGGGAUUCUUAUCAUCACUGGCUGUGGUAACAGUGAUGGUUAAUUUCACAUUUUUGUCAACUGACCGUCCUACGGCAUGCCCAGGCCGCUGAUAACACACUGCAUCUGUGUGUAUUUUGAGGGCAUUUCUGAAGAUUAGCAUUUAAAUCAGCGCCCUCCCCAGGGAAGGUGGGCCUCAUCCAACCCGCUGAGGGCCAGAGUGUGACAAAGAGGUAGGGCAAGCGGGAUUUACUCUCUAUUGGAUCUGGAUCUCUCCUGCCCUUGGACAUCUGUCUUCCUGGUUCUUGUGUUUUUAGACCUGGACAGGAACUUCUCCCACCAGCCCAGGGUUCUCAGGCCUGGACAGGGACCUCUCCCACCAGCCCCAGGUUCUCAGGCCUGCACAGGGACCUCUCCCAAGAGCCCCAGGUUCUCAGGUCUGGACAGGGACCUGUCCUACCACCCUGGGUUCUCAGGCCUGGACAGGCACCUGUCCUACCACCCUGGGUUCUCAGGCCUGGACAGGCACCUGUCCUACCACCCUGGGUUCUCAGGCCUGGACAGGCACCUGUCCUACCACCCUGGGUUCUCAGGCCUGGACAGGGACCUCUCCCACCAGCCCCGGGUUCUCAGACCUGGACAGGGACCUGUCCCACCAGCCCCGGGUUCUCAGGCCUGCACAGGGACCUCUCCCACCAGCCCCAGGUUCUCAGGCCUGCACAGGGACUUCUCCCACCAGCCCCGGGUUCUCAGGCCUGCACAGGGACCUCUCCCACCAGCCCCGGGUUCUCGGGCCUGAGGUUUGGACUGGACUACCCCACUGGUUUUCCUCAGCCUUCAGGAAACCUGCAAGGUCACGCUGCUCCAGGAGAGGAAUGAUGAGCAACGAUCGGGAACACUGCUCUGGAAGAGAAGGGCUCUCUGGCGCAGCUUCCCCGGGCUGUUUUCUGCUACGGAUUUGGCUCACCUCAAAACACUCUCCUAACAAGCAGAUGUUAUUAGUCUUUGGCCCUCCAAUAAGUCAACAAGCAAAAUACCUUGAGCAUCCCAAGAAAACAGCUGCUGCGACCUCUGCUCUCGACUGCUCUGUUUUUGCUUUGACUGGACCACUUCCACCCCUUGGUAGCCAUAGCCACUGCUUUGACUGUGCUUUGUCUUCAAGAUCUCACUAG
rnacentral:lncRNA from 1 species